AAAACGUCUCUUCAGAACCCACGUGAGGAUCUUUAAGUAAUCAUCACGUUUCCUAUCCCUUAGGAAAUUGGGUCUAGCCUUUAACUACUACCACAUAUCAUGGCCAUUUACACUGACAUGUGCCCACUUUCUUUUUCCCAUUAAUGCCUAACCAAAAAUCGCUUCCACUUCCGCAGCUUAUAAAUAGACAUUCUUAAUAUUUCUUUUUUUCUCUCUCUUAACUUUUCGCAUUCUGAUCCUUCUCAAAAAAAUAUUUC
rnacentral:lncRNA from 1 species